UCUCUCUCUCUCUCUCUUAGCUUCUCUGGGUCAGCAUCAUCCCUUAACAAGCUGCACAAAUUUGUCUCGCAGAGGAGCAGCAUGAGUCCGAGACUCCACAGAGCUACGCGGAGAGGACGCACCGGUUUCCCGGAAUGGAUUUGGUCAUCCGGGAGUUUUCAUUCCACCAGCUGAAUGCUAAUCUUUUGUGGCCGGGGACGUUCGCAUUUGCUGAAUGGUUAGUUCAGCACCGGACAUGGAUUGAAGGACGGCGCAUCAUUGAGCUUGGCAGAUUCAUGGGGAGACACCUUUCCCGUUGGUGAGCCACAUUGGGACCUGGUCAUUGCUAGUGACAUUUUGUUAUGUAAGUUUCUAAGCUGUCUUUCAUUAGGUAGUGGCUCUGUGGUAGUCUCUUGGAACCAGUAUCCAUCUGCUCGUCAUCUGUCUUGUGAAGAGCACUCGUGUGCUGAUGUAGUGAUCGACGCAGAUGCAUCCAUGCGUUAGAAAAAAUCCAAAACCGAACCCACCAAAUGAGAGCGGCGAGACACCAGCUCCGCCAAGCCAUUGACUCGCUGUACUCUCGCGGGCGCGCGGCCCCUGAGUCCUACACUCGUCUGGUGCUCGAAUGCGUUCGCGCCCACGAUGUCGAUCAAGCCAGGCGAUUGCAAUCUCACAUGGAGCUCCACUCCUUUCGACCUGACGACACCUACUUACACAAUCGCCUCCUCCACUUGUACGCGAGGUCUGGCCAGCUCGACGAUGCCCGGAAGCUGUUCGACGAAAUGCCCAGGAGAGACGUUUUCUCGUGGAAUGCUAUGCUUUCGGUGCACGCUAAAUGUGGGUCUGUUGGGGACAUGUGGGCAACCUUCGAUGAGAUGCCUGUACGCGACGGUGUUUCCUAUAACACAGUUAUCGCGGGUUUCGCUGGGAAUGGACAGCCUCAAAAGGCUCUGCAAGUGUUUGUGAAUAUGCACGAAAAUGGGUUUGCGCCAACUGAAUAUACUCACGUGAGCGCAUUGAAUGCCUGUUCACAGUUGCAGGGUUUGAGGCUGGGAAAGCAAAUUCAUGGCAGGAUAGUUGCUAGUAAUUUUAGGGGCAGUGCGUUUGUUUGGAAUGCGUUGACUGAUAUGUAUGCUAGAUGUGGUGAAAUUCAUUGGGCCAGGUGGUUGUUUGAUCGCAUGGUUGAUAAGAAUGUGGUUUCAUGGAACACAAUGAUUUCUGGCUAUGUGAUUAAUGGGAAUCCGGAUAAAUGUGUUGAUUUGUUCCGUGAGAUGCAAUUGACUGGUUGUAAGCCCGAUCAGAUUACGGUCUCCAAUGUCCUCAGAGCCUACUUUCAAUGUGGACAUGUCGUUGAAGCAGGGAAAUUGUUUGAUGAGAUCAGAGAGAGAGAUAAAAUUUGUUGGACGACAAUGAUAGUUGGCUACUCCCAAAGUUCAAGAGAAGAGGAUGCAUUGCUGCUUUUUUGUCGUAUGCUGUCAACAAAUGUGCAGCCCGAUGGUUUUACCAUCUCUAGUGUGGUGAGUUCCUGUGCCAAAUUAGCAUUUUUGUGUCUUGGUCAGGCUGUGCAUGCGAAAGCUAUUCUUGUGGGAGUUGAUGAUGAUCUGCUUGUUUCCAGUGCUCUUGUUGACAUGUACAGCAGCUGUGGAGUCAUUGCAGAUGCUCGGUUCAUUUUUAAUAGGAUGACUUCUAGGAAUGUUGUCUCUUGGAAUGCCAUGAUAGGUGGUUAUGCACAAAAUGGUCAAGAUCUGGAGGCCUUGAGACUAUAUGAGGAGAUGCUGCAAGGGAACAUGAAACCCGAUAUUAUCACUUUUAUAGCUGUUCUUUCAUCCUGUGUUCAUGCCAAUCUGAUGGAACAGGGACAGAAGUAUUUUGAUUCAAUCAGCAAAGUACAUGGGAUUACGGCAACUUUGGAUCAUUAUGCAUUCAUGGUCAGCCUCCUUGUUCGAUCAGGCCAGGGAGAUAAAGCACUGAGUCUCAUCAAGCAAAUGCCCCAUCAACCAAAUAGCGUAAUUUGGUCCUCUAUUUUGUCUUCAUGUGCAACAAUGGGCGAUAUUGAACUUGGAAAGAUAGCAGCAAGCCAUUUAUUUGAUCUUGAUCCAUGUAAUGCUGGACCAUAUAUUACACUAUCUAACAUGUAUGCAGCUAAUGCCAGAUGGAAAGAUGUUGCAUCUGUGAGAUCUCUGAUGAAGAACAGAAAUGUCAGGAAAGUCGCAGCUUACAGCUGGAUUGAGUUCGAUAGUAAGGUCCACAGAUUUGUGUCAGAAGAUCGUUCUCAUCCAGAGACAGAUCAAAUUUAUGAAGAACUGCUCAGAUUGAUAAAGAAACUACAAGUGGCUGGCUUUAUUCCUAAUACAAAGUCAGCACUCCAUGAUGUAGCUGACGAUGAGAAGCUUGCAUCUAUAAGCUACCACAGUGAGAAACUUGCUCUUGCAUUCAUCUUGCUCAAAAACCCUGAUGGUGCAAUUCCCAUACGAAUAAUAAAGAAUAUUCGUGUAUGCGGUGACUGCCACAUGUUUAUGAAAUAUGCAUCUGAACUUAUUGGGCGCCAUAUAAUCUUGAGAGAUUAUAACAGAUAUCAUCAUUUUAUUGGAGGAAACUGCUCUUGCAAUGAUUGCUGGUAGUAAGAAUUUCUGAUUUUCAAUUUUCUCAGACUGACGUCAGAUGGUUAAGUUGCAGCUUUGUGGUGGAUGGUCUGUUUGCAGCAGGAGCCCUUCGACUUGUUGAGAUGAACUGAGCCAAGAGCUAGAUGCAAGAUCCUUUUCAUUGGGCUACCAACAAUGGAUCAUCUCGUUGAAGGUUCAGUUGAUCAUUUCUUUUCUCUUGGAAGCUAUAACGAGGUGUUGGGGCUCUUCAAGCACCGGACUGAUCUUCACUAGAUGAGUCCAUCCCCAUGCCAAUGCGUGCCGACUGAUUUCAGGCACACAAGGCUGCUUAUGGGAAUGAUCUGAAUAGAAUGUGCUAACAUCAUAAUUCAAAACCAAAUCUUGAGCAAGAAUGACGAACAAGCUUAUCAAUUGAGGAACCCCAAGCAAUUCAUUGUUAGUUUAUCACAUGAGUGAGGUCACUGGAUAGGUCAACACUUCUUCACUCGGUGAUUGUAGAUUGUUCAUGAGCUACGCUUGAUGCUUAUAAGCUCGGAUCUCUGGAUAUCGUACAGACAAUCUUUUGUUAAACAACUUAGAUCAAGAGGAGCUAGUGACACAGGUUUGUUCUGGUAGGCAAUCGAGUAUACACUAAAAAUGGGUUACUCCUCUUUCUCUGUA